CUCCACUGAGGAUUGUGUUAGACACUGUGAGAAAAAAUAAAUCAGCCCAAGGAUGCGGGUGUAACCUGUAUCAGGUGGCCAGAGAAGGUAUCUCUGAAAAAUGACAUUUGGGGCCUGUAUGAAGGGAGUGUCUAUGUAGCUAUCUAGGCAGAUAUUGUUCCAGACAGACAGAUAAGUCUGUGCAAAGGCCUCGAGGUAGAGUCUGCUUAGAACACUUGAGGGCUGCAAAAAAGGCCAGUGUAACUGAAGUGAAGUAAACUUACACAAAUGUCCACUGCAUCCGUGAGAAGAAACUUAGAGCUUUGGAAUGGGCCCUAGACACGAGCUAUUUGACAUAUAGCCAGAUAUUAAUCAUUGUUACUGCUAAUGGAUGGGAUUUUAGAUGAUUUUUAAUUUCUUUUGAACUUUCCACGUCAUCUUCUGAAGGCCUAAUCCCUUUGGAAUUAGAUGAUACAACAAACUUUAAAAAUCGUAGAGUGAAACUCGUUUUUUUUAUAGGUGAAGAAACUGAAGAAGAGAACUUAUGCUUCUAGAUGUUGCAGAAGCUUAAAUUCCGGUUGCCUGAGGCCUAGUCCAGGGGGUCGUGGCAGCAGCAGGCUGAGACCGAUAAGCCUCACCAGCCUCCUGAAGGUGCUUACUGAUCAUGUGCCAGGACACUCUUAUCAUCAACAGGCAUGCGGCAACUGGAGGGCAGUGGUUAAGACAGCAGGUCAGCAACAGAGAUAAGCCAAGACAGAAAAAAGCUGGGGAAGAAUCCUUCUGUCCACAGGAGCUUUUGGAAUUUUUUUUGUUUUUUAGACGGCGUCUUGUUUUGUUGCCCAGGCUGGAGUGCAAU
rnacentral:lncRNA from 1 species